UUUCCACCAAUUUUUCGGCUUUUCACAAUUGAUGAGGAAAUUCCUGAGAAAAUCGAAAAAUGACCUCACUAAAGUACCAUCUCAAAAAAAUGUUCUCUCACAAAAGCGUUUAUAUUGUAUAUAUUGGAUUUCUGGCGAAAAUGAAAAAAACAAUCAUUAUAAAACUAUUAUAUUCAGAAUCUAAAAAAGAGAGCUGAUACUAAGGAUGUGGCCGCUGUUGAAGGUUAGUAGUUUGUUAGGUUAGAUAAUAAAGUUAUUUGUUAUACCUGUAACCAACCAUCGAAAACGAAAAACUAUUCCAUGUGAAGUUAGGUUAUACAUGUUUUGAAAGGCAACAGGUUAAAGG